CGGCGGACGGGUGAGUAACGCGUAGGAAUCUACCCGGUAGUGGGGGGACAACUUGUGGAAACGCAAGCUAAUACCGCAUACGCCCUAUGGGGGAAAGCGGGGGAUCUUCGGACCUCGCGCUAUCGGAUGAGCCUGCGUAGGAUUAGCUAGUUGGUGAGGUAAAGGCUCACCAAGGCGACGAUCCUUAGCUGGUCUGAGAGGACGAUCAGCCACACUGGGACUGAGACACGGCCCAG
rnacentral:rRNA from 1 species